UACAGAGGUCUCAACCGUUGUUCGGAUUCAUUGGGCGUAAAGGGUGCGUAGGCGGCGCGGUAAGUCGGGUGUGAAAUUUCGAGGCUUAACUUCGAAACUGCAUUCGAUACUGCCGUGCUAGAGGACUGGAGAGGAGACUGGAAUUUACGGUGUAGCGGUGAAAUGCGUAGAUAUCGUAAGGAAGACCAGUGGCGAAGGCGGGUCUCUGGACAGUUCCUGACGCUGAGGCACGAAGGCCAGGGGAGCAAACGGGG
rnacentral:rRNA from 1 species